AUUGAACGCUGGCGGCAGGCCUAACACAUGCAAGUCGAACGAGUGGCGGACGGGUGAGUAAUGUCUGGGAAACUGCCUGAUGGAGGGGGAUAACUACUGGAAACGGUAGCUAAUACCGCAUACCAUCAGAUGUGCCCAGAUGGGAUUAGCUAGUUGGUGGGGUAACGGCUCACCAAGGCGACGAUCCCUAGCUGGUCUGAGAGGAUGACCAGCAACACUGGAACUGAGAAACGGUCCAGACUCCUACGGGAGGAAGCAGGGGGGAAUUUUGGAAAAGGGGGGAAAGCCUGAUGCAGCCAUGCGGGGUGUAUGAAGAAGGCCUUCGGGUUGUAAAGUACUUUCAGCGGGGAGGCGUUACCGGCAGAAGAAGCACCGGCAAACUCCGUGCCAGCCGCCGCGGUAAUAC
rnacentral:rRNA from 1 species